CCAGGAAGUAAUACUGCUUAGUUUCAGCGUGGGAGCGAACGUGUUAUUGUCAACAAACGUGCACAUUGUCACAUUAGAAAAAAGGCUGUUUCAAAACACCACUUUGCAAACGCACUGCACAGCUCUUCAACGUCGAAGAAUUUUAACAUGGCAGACAGAACAGGAAUCGGGUUAUUUACCACCCCUCAAAGCCAAAGCGCCGCUUAUAUUAACGCAACAUAUGAAACGUCGAGGUUGAUCUUGCUCCAGAGGAGACACCAAGUGUUUA